CCGAAAACAAUGAGGAUAAUGAGAUCAGGGACGAGAACAGUGAAAAUAAUGAAAUCGGAGACGAAAAAUGUCUUGGUUUGUUAAUUUUUUUAAAUUUUAAAUUUAAAAAUUAAUUUAACUAAUUAAAAAUUGUAAAUAAUGCAAAAUAAAACUCUUUAUUGCUCGUUUGAAAAAAAAAUUCGAGUUAUAAAUAAUAAUUAUAAAUUUUACUUUACCCGACCCCUGCAUUUCGGUCAUUUUAUAAUUAUUUUAAAUAGGUAUUACGUUUUAUUUCAGUCAACAAACGUCAAGAAAAUAUUACAAAUGAAAGAAAUAAUUCAAUUCAAUGUUUAAAAAAGCAAGCAGAAAGGAUGACGACACAAUCAAAUAAAAAAUAUCAAGAGUUGGAAGUCGGAACAACUGUUCGUAUUUCCAUUCCUGACGUUGAUAGAGCCCGUGGAUCCCACGUAAUUUAUUAGCAGUAAUUGCUAACGUUGACAACGGCUUUUAUAAAUUAUGUACCGAAAAUGGUUUUCUUAAACACAAGUAUACGAGAUCUCAACUUGUGCCAUCCAAAGAAAUGUUGCUUGAUCUCAAAACUCUGGUUGAAUCAUCUAAAGAAAAAGAGAUAACACUUCGAGAAGCAGCAGGAUGUAGUAGUCUUAUGGGCACACAAGGCUAUCAAAGAUGUCACUGUAAAAUGAAGUGUAAAACAAAUAAAUGCACCUGUCGAUUAGUAGGAAAAUUAUGCAAUUCAAAAUGUCACAGUUCAUUGUCAUGUGAAAAUAAAUAAUAAUAUAACAAUUUAAAUACAAAUAACAUGAUUAACUAAUAUUGUUUGGAACUAACGUAAAUCCUUAGUUAUUAACGUUUAAGUCUUGUAAAAUAUUUAUUAUUAUCUAUUAACGUUAAUUGAUAGUUAAUAACGUAAAUAUAAAUUUAACAUCUUUUACUGUAACAUAUCCAUUAUCAUUCAAACAUCUAUAGGCUGCCCACUCAUCUGAAUGAAUAACAGAGGCAGCUUCACAUUAUCGUAGUAACGUGUUUUUGUCUCUUCGAGGAACAUAAAAAUAUCGGCAGUCAGAACCAUUUUUAAGCCCAAAAACCCAAGGUCCAUCGACUCUUCGUCCAUGGUUUCUACCGUUGUGUAGUUCAGCAUCACUGUCUUCCGAUGAAGCUGGUUGAUCACCAUUAAGCGAUUAUAUUUCCUUUUUCCGGCAAAUCUGGCCUCGUCAAUCUAUAUUGGGUUUAUGCCAGUGCCCAGCAUCUUAGUUCGUUUCUGUACAAUACUUGAACAUACUUCACGACACGUAUUAAACCAGUCAGUAACUGUCUCCUGGCAUCUACCUGUUAGGGUGGCUGUUAUUCUCAAAGGUAUGUCCGAUACAAAAAAAA